GCCAGGGAGGGUGCCUCUGACUUGCCCAGACUAGUGGAACUGCAGUCUGCCACGGGAAGGGAGCUGAGCACCCUGCCCCAGGGAGGAGAAGGAGGAGGAUGACAACCAAAAUCAGGACUCACUGGAAGUUGCCAUCAUUGCACAGAGAAUCGCCUCCCUUUGUCCAGCUUCCGCCCAUGGAGACAUCUUAAAUUUGUCAUGCAAGGUCAAAACCCAAAGGCUGACAUUGGGAAAACACCCUGAAUUAAACUGCAGUCCUCCUCUGGUCUUCAAAUGAAUGAGAAGAUUUGCAUUUACAGGAUCUCAUCUGGGUUCUGUGCCACCUCCCAGGCCCAGGAAGGAAGAUGUAAAGAAGAUAAGAAUCUUGAGAUGAGAUCAUCUUGAAUUAUCCACUGGAGCUUUAAAUCCAGGGACAACAGACGCCAGAGGAGAGACAGAAAGAAGAAAAGGCCCAGAGAAAACGGGGGCAGGUUGCAGUGAAGUUGCCCACAAGGAAGUAGACGGUCACUAGGAACGGGAAGAGGCAGGAAGGGGCCCUGUCCUGGGGCCUUCAGAGUGUGCGUGGCCCUACAUACACCUUAAUUUCGGAGUUCCACCCUCCACCGCUGUGAGAGAAUGAAUUGAUGUUGUUUGAAGCCAAUUUAUUAUGGAAGCCCUAGGAAACCUCUAGGUUCUGCCACCCACAUGACCCAUUCACACGGACCUUCCCAUUUCACGAAGCAGGGGAAGAGGCACUGCUCCUUACCUGGGUCUCAGGAAUGGUGGCAGGCCUUCUGAUGCCAGCUUAUCAACAAAGCAACGAGACACAGUGCGGUCCCUUGACUUGCCCAAGGAUGCAAAGCUGCAAAGGUUGAGCAAUGACUCAAACCCAUCCCUGGCUCAUUCCCAAGCCUGUGAUCCUCGUUACGAUCACUGAGGCCUGGGGAGAGCCACAGUUGACUGCCUGCUGGAGCAAGUUUUUGUUCUACAGUUUUGACCUAAAAAAAGAAAGAAAGGAAAGAAAAGAAAGAAAGAAAAAAAGAAAGAGAGAGAGAGAAAGAGAGAAAGAAAGAGAAAGAUUGCCAAAUGACAAACAGCCUGAAAAAGGACAUUUCCUUGGUUGUCCUCUCAGGGAGAGGCCUCCAUGGAGACAAGAAGGGACGUGAAUUAGGAGGAAGGCGUGGGCACCCCACACAGCAAGCCCCGGGGGAGGAAGUUGGAGCCUGUGUUUCCCUGAAUGACCAGCAGAAUAUCCCCAGCUUCCAGUGCAAGCCUGGGCAGCUGCUCUCCCCCUGCAGACCCCUGAAGACCCAAGCCUCAGAAGAGCUAAGCAGGCCAAGUUAUGCUCACAGACCUGGCCUGGCCUGGCCUGUUGGAGCCUGUUUCCACUGCACAGUUCCUUUCAGAGACCAAAAACUCUAUUUUUGAAAGAAAGUAUAGCCAGGCAAGGCAGCGCAUGCCUGUAGUCCCAGUGGCUUGGGAGGCUGAGACAGGAGGAUUGCAAGUUCAAAGCCAGCCUCAGCAACUUAGCAAGGCCCUAAGUAACUUAGAAAGACCCUGUCUGUAAAUUAAAUGCAAAAAAAAAAAAAAAAGCAUAUACAUGGGAGAAAUUAAAACUUUGAAACACCUCCCUGCCACUUGGGUCAUAGGUCCCUUCAUUGGCCUCCCCAGAGGUGACAGCCAUUACCACACCCCUUGGGUUUCCUUCCAGAGGGUCUCUACAUAUAGGCAUAUAGAGCUAAAUAAACAUACCCUUUCACGCAAAUGAGAGGACCCUAUAGGCAUCCUUCCGUAUCUUUUUCCAUUUGGUAUAGCUUGAGAAUUUUGCCAUAAGAGCACACAUUUUUUUAUAACAGCUUCCAAAGUGUUCCUCUGCAUAAACUAACUGUACUUCUAUCGCCUGCUCCCCAUACAACACCUCUUAGGGUGUGUCCAAUAUUUUCUUGCUAGAAACAGUGAUGUUAUUCGGAUCUUGUACUUAUCUUCACACAUACGUAGACUGUCUCCAUAAGACCAGAUUCUAAAGUUUUCUGCUUUAAAAAGCACAUGACUUUUUAUCUAUUUGUUUGUUUUGCAGUACUGGGGAUGGGACCCAGGGCCUUGCACAUGCUAGGCAAGUGCUCUACCACUACCUUAAAAAGAAUGAUGCUCCCACACAGGAGUCAAACACGUGAAAGAGGGUUCAGACACAAGGAAGAACAGAAUCCAAGGACAAGGAAGGAGCCUGACUUAUUUGAGGAAGUGAAAAUAGCAAGCUAUGGGGACUGGCCCCACAGCCUCCUCCCAGAGGAGCUUGGAAAGGUUAUCAGGGGCCAGAUCAAACAGGGCCUCUUAGGCAAGAAGUCGAGUUAUUUUUCUCAUUGAAAUGGGAAGCCAUUGAAGGGCCCGAAGCACGUGAGUGGCGUGAUGCAUUCUAUGCAAUCUCUCUCUCUCUCUCUCUCUCUCUCUUUAAUUUCACAUCCGCUACAUGGGGAGUGAAUUGUAGGUGACCAAGGAUUGAAGCUCAGAGACAAGUCAGAAGACUGUCUUUUUUUUAGCUGGGAGAUGGUAAUGGUUUAGAUUGGGGCGGUGAUAAAAAUAGGAAGAGGUGGAGAGACUGCAUUUCUAUUUAGGAAGCAUGAUCCGUAAAACAGCUCUACUGAUCAAAGGACUGUCAGUUUUCUGUCUGGGUUGUGGAUGGUGGCCCAAGUGGAAGAGGCUUAGGUAGAUUCAGGUUGAGGUCAUGGGGAGAAGAAUCAAAACUCAAGUCUUAAGCAAAUUAAGUCGUAGGUGUCUAAGACACAGGAGGCAUCUAACUGGAAUCACCCAGGAGAGAGUACCUGAUGGGCUUUGACAUAUCUGUCUGCAUGAAUUCAUUUGCACUUAGGCCCAAACCCUCUGUUCUGCUCCAGGAUUUGUGGGCAUUAUCUUUUGCCCCUGUGGAAUCCGAACCUCUCAUUUCCUCUCCCUAAUUUGACUAUAAGCUCUUCAGGGGAGAAAUUGAGUGUUAAACCCUCUCAACCCCCCAGGACCACAGCACAUGCUCUCUAAGUGGGCAUGUGGCUGAGUCGAUGGCUCGCAGCAGAUUUAGCUGCAGGGAUCUCAGAAGAAAUGCCAUCAUCUGAGCUCCAACCAUAUCUAAUAGGGGUGCCAUGGGCCUGGCCAUUAGCAGGAAAGAAGAAAGCCCAAGCUCCUACCCUACUGUAAUCACAAGACCAGUUGGUGUGACCUCCAGCAUCCAGGUGACCGGACCCAGAAGAGGACUUGUUCAUGGGGAUGGGCCUCAUGCCACCUUCAGCAAAUGGAAACUAAGGAAGGUUCAGGUAAUCCCACAGAAGGUCUUACCCAUCUUCUUCCAGUAUAAAUCUCUGCUACCAACCAUCAAGAAUGUGUCAUCAAGAAAGUUGAUUGAUAUUGUUUGAGAAACUUGGCUUUAUUCACUCAUUCAUUUAUUCAUUUUUGUCUGUCCCCACAACCCGCCAUUACCUCUAUCCUCUAUCUCCAAAUUUAGUCCUUGCAAUCUGUUCCUGAUGGGGCUAUUGACAUACAAAUCUGAUCAUUCUAUCUCCCUUUUUACAAACCCUUGGUGGUUCCCACUGCUUUUUAGGUAAAAUCCCAACUCCUUCACCAAGCAAAUGUGGCCUUUUAUGAUCUGGCCUCUGCCAACAUUUUUACCAUCUUUUCCACCCCUACGCACUGAGUUCCAGACUCACGGACCAUCCCCUGUGGCCCAAACACGUCAGGCUCACACCUCAUACCUGAAGUCUUCUCGGAAAGGAUGGUACAUGCUUAAAUUAAAAACAUAAGGGAAGAUGCUAAGACUCAUCAGUCCUGAGGGGAACACAAAAUAAAAUGGAAUAUUCUUUCCCACUUGUAAAUUGGUAAUUUUUAAAAAAUUAAUAAUACGCAAUGGUUAGAGAGGGAAAAGGGGCUGUACCUUAC